AAAUUGAAACGAUGGCAGGAGUAAAUGUGGAGAUUCCAAAGAAAGUAUACACAUGCGGAUUAUGCGAAAUAAUUCUUGGGGACCUUGAGGAUGAAGAAACAUGGUCCCAUGAAUGUUUUGCAAAUUAUUCAGAGAUUGUUUUUGAUGUGAAUAGCUUGUAUUAUAUCCCAAAUGUGAAGAUGGAAGCAUUGUGCGCCGAAGUGCGAUUAAUGGAGCAGAGCAGAUUGUAAUAGAAUCGCCUCUUCCGACACAAGAGCCGUGCCCAGUGGAAAACCUGGAAGAACUUAUCAUUACAGAAGUGUCGGCACGAGAACUGUUAUGGAAUCAAAAACUGAGUAUAACAAAACGUGACAGGCAAACUGUACAACAACUUUGGAAGCAAGUGGCUAAUGCGACGAAUGGCGAAUGUUCUGUCGAUGAGGUAAAAAAAAAAUGGAAGAACUUAAGGGAUCGUUACAUGAAAAUAAUCUCUCUUGAAAAGUUGCCAAGUGGAUCAGGAAGUAAACCAUCUCGCAGAAAGUGGCAACAUUACGAAUUGUUGUCUUUCUUACGUGACACUUCUUUGGAAAAAGAGACAGUUUCAAAUAUGAUGAGUCGUGAGGAAGACACUAGCAAUGAUGACACGGAAAUCCAAAGUGUGGACGUCGUAGAAGUCAACGGAAUGAAAAGAAAACGAAAAAGUACUGAGCGCGAAGAAGAAAGA